rnacentral:lncRNA from 1 species
AAUCAUUGGACUUAGAGGAUUUCACUUAGGGCCCUUGCUUGGAGACCUUGCCCUAAACUUUUGACACUUUGCCCUAACUUGGAUUUCAUUUGUAACUUGCAAUCUUUCAUUGUAUGAAUGACUUCAUGGUACUACCUUAGGGAGACAUGACUAUAAGACCAUUAUCCACUUGUUAGCUUAGGUCACUUUUGCACACACAAGGCUUUCUCUUGGGCUACCUUACAAUGAGACCAUUUAUUUCUUA